ACACACACACACACACACACACUGACAUACACAUACUCACACUAUACGCACACACACAAAUGGGAUUUUUAGAGUGUAUGCAAGUUCAAAUCCCAGAACUGCCAAGCACGUCAGUAAUUAAGUCAGUGAGUAAGUCAGUAAAUUAGUAAAUCAGUAAUUAAGUCAGUGAGUAAGUCAGUAAAUUAGUAAGUCGGUAAUUAAGUCAGUAAGAAGGUCAGUGAGUAAGUCGGUAAAUUAGUAAGUCAGUAAUUAGGUCAGUAAUUAAGUCAGUAAUUAAGUCAGUAAUUAAGUCAGUAGUUAAGUCAGUAAUUAAGUCAGUAGUUAAGUCAGUAAUUAAGUCAGUAGGUAAGUCAGUGAGUAAGUCAGUAAAUUAGUAAGUCAGUAAUAAAGUCAGUAAGUGAGUCAGUAAAUUAGUAAGUCAGUAAUUAAGUCAGUAAUCAAGUCAGUAAGUAAGUCAGUAAUCAAGUCAGUGAGUAAGUCAGUAAUUUAGUUAGUCAGUAAUUAAGUCAGUAAGUCAGUGAGUAAGUCAGUAAUUAAGUCAGUAAUUAAGUCAGUAAGUUAGUAAGUCAGUAUUUAAUUCCGUAAGUGAGUCAGUAAGUUAUUAAAGAGUAAGGCAGCACAUGAGUCAUUAAUUCAUUAAGUGAGUAAGUUGCUAAGUUAGUGAGUUAUUAAGUCUGUAAAUUAUUAAGUCAGUAAUUAAUUCAGUGAGUCAUUACAUUAUUAAAUAAGUGAGACGGUUAGUAAGUUGGUAAGUCAGGAAGUAAGUGAGUAAUUAAGUCAGUAAGUGAGUCAGUUAGCUAUUAAGUCAGUGAUUAUGUCGGUAAGUCAGUAAUUUAGUAAAUCAGUAAAUUA
ensembl:lncRNA